GUUGCAGUUUUCCUAACAUCAGAUUCUUGCCACACUCAAAUACGAUCAAUAGCAAAAAAAAAAUAAGACAGAAAAAUUCCAAAGUGAGAGCAAUGGAUCGAAUACGAAGAGAAAGGUACGGUUCUAAAUCUCCUAGGCAAGCCCCAAUUGGAUCAAACUCUCAAACCGACCACAUUGCGACUGCCAAACCGGUGAAACCGGUAAAAAUACUAUUUGCUAGACGAUGGUCUAUUUAAAGCAGGUUAUUGAAAAAUGCAGCAAAGAAGAGGAAGAGUUUUAUCAAGUUCCCCACUAUCUAAUUUGUAGUCUCUAAAACUAUUGAACGUAGAUUUUAUCUUAAUAAUUUCUCACAGUAAUGCUUGCAUGUCCUUUCACACCCUAAUCUUUAGUUUUGUAGUGUUAGUGUUUUUUUUUUGUUGACAUUUUCAUGUCUUAGCUCUUGCUCAAAACCGAAAAAACUGUUACCAAAAACUGUCACAAAACAAGCGUUACCAAAAACUUGUUACCAAAAACAGUUACGCUGUUAUCUGAUAUAAAAUACUAGAGAUAAGAGAUUAGAGAUUAAGAUAAGGGGUAGGAUAUAGGAGAUAGGGGUUAAGAGAUAAGAGAUCCGUUAGGAAAUUUGAUUGAUAUGAAUGGGUUGAAUUAAAGGAUUUUGCUUGAGAUAUUUUGCAUAGGUAACGGAUUAGAGAAUAGUCUGAUAAAAAAAUUCGAUUUAAAACAUCAUCAUGAUAUUUUACGUGUUAAACUAUUGAUGGAGAGAUAUUUGGGCUUGAAUACAUUUGUUUUGUGAU